GAUGAACGCUGGCGGCGUGCCUAAUACAUGCAAGUCGAGCGAACAGACGAGGAGCUUGCUCCUCUGACGUUAGCGGCGGACGGGUGAGUAACACGUGGAUAACCUACCUAUAAGACUGGGAUAACUUCGGGAAACCGGAGCUAAUACCGGAUAACAUGUUGAACCGCAUGGUUUAACAGUGAAAGACGGUCUUGCUGUCACUUAUAGAUGGAUCCGCGCCGCAUUAGCUAGUUGGUAAGGUAACGGCUUACCAAGGCAACGAUGCGUAGCCGACCUGAGAGGGUGAUAGGCCACACUGGAACUGAGACACGGUCCAGACUCCUAAGGGAGGCAGCAGUAGGGAAUCUUCCGCAAUGGGCGAAAGCAUGACGGAGCAACGCCGCGUGAGUGAAGAAGGUCUUCGGAUCGUAAAAAUCUGUUAUUAGGGAAGAACAAAUGUGGAAGUAACUAUGCACGUCUUGACGGUAACGAAUCAGAAAGCCACGGCUAACUACGUG
rnacentral:rRNA from 1 species